rnacentral:rRNA from 1 species
CUCAGAACGAACGCUGGCGGCGCGUUUAAGCAUGCAAGUCGAGCGGCAAGGGCCUUCGGGCCCUAGAGCGGCGGACGGGUGAGUAACACGUGGACAAUCUGCCCCCCGGCCCGGGAUAGCCCAGGGAAACCUGGAUUAAUACCGGAUGAGACGGGACCCGCGAUGGCGGGAUCCGGGAAAGGCGCUGCGGCGCCGCCGGGGGAUGAGUCUGCGUCCCAUUAGCUAGACGGCGGGGUAACGGCCCACCGUGGCGACGAUGGGUAGCCGGCCUGAGAGGGUGGACGGCCACAUUGGAACUGAGACACGGUCCAGACUCCUACGGGAGGCAGCAGCUAAGAAUCUUCCGCAAUGGGCGAAAGCCUGACGGAGCGACGCCGCGUGAACGAAGAAGGCCGUGAGGUUGUAAAGUUCUUUUCGGGAGGGGGAACAACCGUGGCAGGGAAUGGCCGCGGGAUGACGUGAAUCUCGGAAUAAGCCCCGGCUAACUACGUGCCAGCAGCUGC